rnacentral:tRNA from 3 species
GCCGCAGUGGCGGAAUCGGCAGACGCAAGGGACUUAAAAUCCCUCGGGGGCAACCCCGUGACAGUUCAAGUCUGUUCUGCGGCACCA